rnacentral:lncRNA from 1 species
UGAUACUUGACACGUGCUGUCACAGUUGUGCAGCAGGAAGGAAGCCACAGUUGCUGAAGCAGCUGACCUGGGUUGACAAGUGUUAGUACAGAGAUUCUUGAAGGGGAUGUGUAUAAACCAUAGUCUCUAAGUAUAGGAAGAGAUCUUUUCAGGCUUGAUUUCUAAAAAGUAAAGAACAGCUCAAAAACUUACCUCACGUGUGGGUCAAUAGGAUGGUUAUAUUUUGAAAAGAACAAAGCAAAGACUAGGUUGUCUAUGUGACAGCGUUACAGAUUCAUCAAGGAAACAAUAUUUUAUAUUUCCUAGCUACUAAAUGAUAUCAGGCACAUGAAGUCUCUCUUAAAAUGAAAGGUGAACUUGUGGAAUUUCUUUCUAAUUAUACUUGUAGCAAGGUGUGCCCUCUCUCCUCAGAAAAUAAUACAGAUUUUUUGAAUGUGUUUUUAGAUUGCAUUCACUAUGUUAAAAUUCUGAAGACAUCUAUUUGUUUCUCAACAGGUAUAAAAGCCAAAAAUGAGUGAACCAGACCAUCGAACAUUCUUUACAACUCCCAGGUCUAGUGAUGUAGAAAAUCAGGUGAUUCCUAUGAGAAAUGGUGUUGGCAGCCAGAAGUAUAAACCUGUUGACUACAAACAACUAUAUGAACUUGCUGCAGUAGAAAAAAUGGCAUCUGCAAAAAUUAAGUUAAAGGUAUGAUUUUUAUAUUAUUUGUAAUAUGAAUGAUUUUAAAAUUCAAUGAUCAUAUUUCUUUUCACUGCCCCAAGGAAUCUGAGAAUGAAUAGGGAUAACAAAUUGCUGUAACAGCAUUCGGCAAGAGGGGGCAAAAGACAAGAGUUUAUCACAGUUAUUGUGAUUUGGACACAUUAAUGUCAGUAUGGAAUUUCUUUGAGUCAGAGAUGCAAAGUAUUUGUGGAUUCUGCUUCCCCAAAAGACAGGAAAGGUUCGUACUUGAGUGCUUUGAGGAAAUUCAUCCAGACUCGUGACAAACUACUCAAAAUACUGGGGGUAAUGAAGAAUUUAUGGGAAUAAAUGGGAAGGGGAGGUUGAUUCA